AUACGAUGAUUAUUGCGAUGAGUGUUCACACAGAUUGAUGGUUUAUAACGUUAUAGAGAUAGAUGUGGGGCUAUAGCUCAGCUGGGAGAGCGCUUGCAUGGCAUGCAAGAGGUCGACGGUUCGAUCCCGUCUAGCUCCACCAUUACUAAAGGUUUUCAUUUAGAAUCUUUAAACAUGGUUUUCAUUAGAAAAUCUUGCUCUUUAACAAUUUGGAAAGCUGACAAAACAACAAUUUAUUGUUGUUUGUAAAGUUCUCAAUGUUUGUCUUUAAGACAAACACCAACAAACACAUUCAAGUGUUCUUGGGAAUGUCACUUUUAGUGACUAUUCGAAAUUGAGUCCGGCAAAAUCAACGCUAUCUCGCUCAUUCAAAUAAUGAGAUAGCAACUUUGGUUGUUUAACAAAGACCCUUUGGGGUUGUAU
rnacentral:misc_RNA from 1 species